AUUGAACGCUGGCGGCAGGCCUAACACAUGCAAGUCGAGCGGAUGAAGGGAGCUUGCUCCUGGAUUCAGCGGCGGACGGGUGAGUAAUGCCUAGGAAUCUGCCUGGUAGUGGGGGAUAACGUCCGGAAACGGGCGCUAAUACCGCAUACGUCCUGAGGGAGAAAGUGGGGGAUCUUCGGACCUCACGCUAUCAGAUGAGCCUAGGUCGGAUUAGCUAGUUGGUGGGGUAAAGGCCUACCAAGGCGACGAUCCGUAACUGGUCUGAGAGGAUGAUCAGUCACACUGGAACUGAGACACGGUCCAGACUCCUACGGGAGGCAGCAGUGGGGAAUAUUGGACAAUGGGCGAAAGCCUGAUCCAGCCAGGCCGCGUGUGUGAAGAAGGUCGUCGGAUUGUAAAGCACUUUAAGUUGGGAGGAAGGGCAGUAAGUUAAUACCUUGCUGUUUUGACGUUACCAACAGAAUAAGCACCGGCUAACUUCGUGC
rnacentral:rRNA from 1 species